UACGGAGGGUGCGAGCGUUGUUCGGAAUCACUGGGCGUAAAGCGCGUGUAGGCGGCCCUUUAAGUCCGAUGUGAAAGCCCGGGGCUCACCCCCGGAAGUGCAUUGGAUACUGAAGGGCUGGAGUACCGGAGAGGAGGGUGGAAUUCCUGGUGUAGCGGUGAAAUGCGUAGAUAUCAGGAGGAACACCUGUGGCGAAGGCGGCCCCCUGGUCGGAUACUGACGCUGAGACGCGAAAGCGUGGGGAGCAAACAGG
rnacentral:rRNA from 1 species